UUUUUGCUCCACAUAUGCAUGCUUUCUACGAUUCGGAGAUCAGUGCAGCCCAAAGAUCACAUUGGAUUCUCCUCACUACACUCCAUCUUCUAACCUAGUCUGCAUCACGGCUAGGUGCAUCCGUUGCCAAGUUCAUCCAAUAUAUGCCAACCGCAUUGCAAGGACGACCAUAUGCACACACACACCACAGUCCACAGGAGACAGAUAGCUAGCUAGCUUACUCUUUAGUCAUACAUACACUUAUAAAUAGCCACCGGCUCUGUGCUCAUCAGCAAGGCAGAUUAAACAAGUGAAGUGGUCCACAUCAAAAAUGAAGUAAUCAGGUCUAGGGAGUCAAAAUUUGGUUGGUUGUCCACUGGAGUUCUCCUCAAUCCACUUCAGUAGAUAGCUAUGGCUAGGCCUCAUUGCAUUGCACUGUUACAUAACUGUGAUCAUGGGGCCAAAAGCUAGCUAUGUAUAGUGAAGUGCUUGGGGGAACUCCAGUUGACACUCAGCAUUUUCAAGUUAGGUAUGUAAGUGCUUGUACUUUAUGAAUUUGUAAGUGACAGAGAAUGAUUAGGUUUGGAGUCCCUAGGAGUUCCUUUCAAGCACUUUACGACACACUGUAUUGAGAGUUGUCGUGAAGUGUUUGGGGGAACUCUUAGUG
rnacentral:precursor_RNA from 1 species